rnacentral:rRNA from 1 species
GACGAACGCUGGCGGCGUGCCUAAUACAUGCAAGUCGAGCGGACGAAUCGAAAGCUUGCUUUUGAUUCGUUAGCGGCGGACGGGUGAGUAACACGCGGGCAACCUGCCCUGUAGACGGGGAUAACACCGAGAAAUCGGUGCUAAUACCGGAUAACACGAAAUGUCGCAUGACGUUUCGUUGAAAGACGGCGCAAGCUGCCGCUACAGGAUGGGCCCGCGGCGCAUUAGCUAGUUGGUGAGGUAACGGCUCACCAAGGCGACGAUACGUAGCCGACCUGAGAGGGUGAUCGGCCACACUGGGACUGAGACACGGCCCAGACUCCUACGGGAGGCAGCAGUAGGGAAUCUUCCGCAAUGGACGAAAGUCUGACGGAGCAACGCCGCGUGAGCGAAGAAGGCCUUCGGGUCGUAAAGCUCUGUUGUUAGGGAAGAACAAGUAACGCAGUAACUGGCGUUACCGUGACGGUACCUAACGAGAAAGCCACGGCUAACUACGUG